rnacentral:rRNA from 1 species
GACGGGGGGGGCAAGUGUUCUUCGGAAUGACUGGGCGUAAAGGGCACGUAGGCGGUGAAUCGGGUUGAAAGUGAAAGUCGCCAAAAAGUGGCGGAAUGCUCUCGAAACCAAUUCACUUGAGUGAGACAGAGGAGAGUGGAAUUUCGUGUGUAGGGGUGAAAUGCGUAGAGAUCGGGAAGAACACCAAUGGCGAAAGCACUCUGCUGGGCCGAAACUGACACUGAGAGACGAAAGCUAGGGGAGCGAAUGGG